CGAAGCGUGCGAUUGGAUUGCACGUCUAAGCAGUAAGGCUGAGUAUUAGGCAAAUCCGGUACUCGUUAAGGCUGAGCUGUGAUGGGGAGAAGACAUUGUGUCUUCGAGUCGUUGAUUUCACACUGCCGAGAAAAGCCUCUAGAUAGAAAAUAGGUGCCCGUACCGCAAACCGACACAGGUAGUCAAGAUGAGAAUUCUAAGGUGAGCGAGCGAACUCUCGUUAAGGAACUCGGCAAAAUGACCCCGUAACUUCGGGAGAAGGGGUGCUCUUUAGGGUUAACGCCCAGAAGAGCCGCAGUGAAUAGGCCCAAGCGACUGUUUAUCAAAAACACAGGUCUCUGCUAAACCGUAAGGUGAUGUAUAGGGGCUGACGCCUGCCCGGUGCUGGAAGGUUAAGAGGAGUGGUUAGCUUCUGCGAAGCUACGAAUCGAAGCCCCAGUAAACGGCGGCCGUAACUAUAACGGUCCUAAGGUAGCGAAAUUCCUUGUCGGGUAAGUUCCGACCCGCACGAAAGGCGUAACGAUUUGGGCACUGUCUCAACGAGAGACUCGGUGAAAUCAUAGUACCUGUGAAGAUGCAGGUUACCCGCGACAGGACGGAAAGACCCCGUGGAGCUUUACUGUAGCCUGAUAUUGAAAUUCGGCACAGCUUGUACAGGAUAGGUAGGAGCCUUUGAAACGUGAGCGCUAGCUUACGUGGAGGCGCUGGUGGGAUACUACCCUAGCUGUGUUGGCUUUCUAACCCGCACCACUUAUCGUGGUGGGAGACAGUGUCAGGCGGGCAGUUUGACUGGGGCGGUCGCCUCCUAAAAGGUAACGGAGGCGCUCAAAGGUUCCCUCAGAAUGGUUGGAAAUCAUUCAUAGAGUGUAAAGGCAUAAGGGAGCUUGACUGCGAGACCUACAAGUCGAGCAGGGUCGAAAGACGGACUUAGUGAUCCGGUGGUUCCGCAUGGAAGGGCCAUCGCUCAACGGAUAAAAGCUACCCCGGGGAUAACAGGCUUAUCUCCCCCAAGAGUUCACAUCGACGGGGAGGUUUGGCACCUCGAUGUCGGCUCAUCGCAUCCUGGGGCUGUAGUCGGUCCCAAGGGU
rnacentral:rRNA from 1 species